GACGAACGCUGGCGGCGUGCUUAACACGUGCAAGUCGAACGGUGAAGCUCCAGCUUGCUGGAGUGGAUCAGUGGCGAACGGGUGAGUAACACGUGAGCAACCUGCCCCUGACUCUGGAAUAAGCGCUGGAAACGGCGUCUAAUACUGGAUACGAGAAGGGCCCGCAUGGGCACUUUCUGGAAAGUUUUUCGGUUGGGGAUGGGCUCGCGGCCUAUCAGCUUGUUGGUGAGGUAAUGGCUCACCAAGGCGACGACGGGUAGCCGGCCUGAGAGGGCGACCGGCCACACUGGGACUGAGACACGGCCCAGACUCCUACGGGAGGCAGCAGUGGGGAAUAUUGCACAAUGGGCGAAAGCCUGAUGCAGCGACGCCGCGUGAGGGAUGACGGCCUUCGGGUUGUAAACCUCUUUCGGCAGGGAAGAAGCGAAAGUGACGGUACCUGCAGAAGAAGCACCGGCUAACUACGUG
rnacentral:rRNA from 1 species